UGGAUCUAAUCACUCACAUCAAGAUUUAUAUGUGCAGCGGUUCAUCUCUAUACCAUAUGAUCGUCUAUCUCAUCCUCGUCGGUUCCAUCGGUAUCUCGAUACAUCUCCAUACGUCACGAUCGUUCGUCUCGACCUCGUGGGUCCUACUAUCGCUUUGACGCUCCCGUUGCACCUCAUCAUGUGAAUGUAACUUAAUCAUAG
rnacentral:lncRNA from 1 species